AUUAAAUGUUUGUUUUUUGCAAACAGGGUUCAUGAAAACAAAGUAGCAGAGAUGCCACUCAUUACAACCCGUGGUAUGUAUAGGCGACAAGGAAUGUGUACCCGCUUCAUGACAGUCAUCGAAUCUGUACUAAGCAGUUUGGGUGUUGACUUAUUGGUCAUACCAUCAAUCAAAGAACGCGAGAAGAUUUGGGUUUCAGUGUUUGGGUUUGAACCCUUUGAUCUGGAAACGAAAACUAGAACUGAAAAAAUGAAAAUUUUAGUUUGCCCUGACUCGGUUAUGCUGAAGAAAAACAUUAACAGGGUUGUUUGAGAAGAAGUUCCUAAUACUGAGAAGAACCAAUUCUAAUGCGAAUCCUGUGUGUCCCAAAUGAUAGUGACAUUGGAGAUGCUGAUGAUGAACAUGAUGAGCAAACACAUCUCCAAAAGAAUAAUAGUAAUAAUAAUAAUACUUGUUAUCUUUAAAUAAAAUCUCAGACGAUGGGAUUGUUUUAAUGUAAAAUUAAUGGUUAAAAGUUGUUGGAUAAUUUAAUAUGUUUGAUAAAAAUAUUAAGACAACUGCAUGUAUAAGAGAUUUUAUCUGUUUUCAAUAAUCGAAGUAACUUCUUAUGUUGUA